GUGGGGAAUCUUCCGCAAUGGACGAAAGUCUGACGGAGCAACGCCGCGUGAGUGAAGAAGGUUUUCGGAUCGUAAAGCUCUUUCGUUAGGGACGAACGUGCACUUUGUGAAUAAUGAGGAGUAAUGACGGUACCUAAAUAAGAAGCCAAGGCUAACUACGUGCCAGCAGCCGCGGUAAUACGUAGGUGGCAAGCGUUGUACGGAAUUAUUGGGCGUAAAGCGCACGCAGGCGGGAUAUCAAAUCUGUCUUAAAAGUGCGAGGCUCAACCUCGUGAGGGGACAGAAACUGGUAUACUUGAGUGUCGGAGAGGAAAGUGGAAUUCCAAGUGUAGCGGUGAAAUGCGUAGAGAUUUGGAAGAACACCAGUGGCGAAGGCGACUUUCUGGACGAUGUCUGACGCUGAGGCGCGAAAGCUAGGGGAGCGAACGAGAUUAGAAACCCCUGUAGUCC
rnacentral:rRNA from 1 species